UCUAUUGAGGGGAGGGAGGACUCUCUCUCUCUCUCGCUCUCAAAUACACAAACAGAGACAGAACGAUCUGCGCUGCGGCAUGAGGUGGUGAGAAAUGAGAAUUCCAUUUGAAAGAUUAUGGCCUUGCGUGGGAAUGAGGUGUUGGAAGUUCAGUGAGGAUGUAGUGAGAGAAAAAUUAAGAGAGGAGAGCUUUUUGGAGAGAGGAAAGCGUCUCUCUCUCUCUCUCUCUCUCGUCGGAAUAUAUUUUUCUGUGGAGGAAAUGGUUUAGAAGUAUGAUUGAGGAGGUUCCUGCUUCUGUAUUUAUAGAACAUAGAGGACAACCACCUGUAGUUUUCGGUGGAGGAGCUUUCAAUGUCGCAGGCACGAGGACAACCACCUGUAGUUUUCGGUGCUGCGAUGAAGAAGGAACAGCGAGAUUUCCGCUGUUAUUACCAAAAAAGAAGAAAUAGACAAGUGAUGAUCGAGCUCAUUUCUACAGCAAGAACAACUGGUCAGGGGCAUAUGCAGAAACAGAUCUGGAUUAAUUGAGGAAUUGCAACUUUCCAACUUAAUAUUAAACGAUUGGGAAUAAGAUUUCUACUGUUCAAUUGAGUGAGCCAGAACCAUACUUCAAAAUGCCCGGCUAUCCUACAGCACAUAAGACAUUAAAUUCAAGGAAACUUGUUUGAUAUGUGUUUAAAGUUGUUUUUUAAAGAUGAAAAUUUGUUAAUUGAAUAAAGCCAAUGUCCAAGAACGUCAACUAGCCCAACAAGCUAUAACAGCGAAUCGAAACAAAUUAGCAGUCUAUAGAUGUUAAACGGUCCAGUUGAAGGUCCGGCCCAUAGCUGUGCAUAUCAGGCCAACCCAUGGGUGCAAGAGGGAGGGGGGAUUUGUGGGACCCCGUGCCAUGGGACCUUGGGAGAAGCACAAAUACAAACAGAGGACUAAGAGAGGGCGUACACCACAGCUAACCGUACAACAAACACCUAGCUAUAAAAUAUAGUGAAACUCGAUGAAGGACACAACAGCUCAAAAUCUGCUUUUCUGUGUAAAGCACUCAUUGCUAAGCUAUCCGCACAAUGGUUAGUUUCCGAGUAACAUGAAGAAAAUUUACCUAGUGGCUAGUGAAGUAUUAGCAUAUACUGACUAAACUUGUAAGAGCAACUCCAACGGGAGUUGCCAUUGGGGGUGCCAUCGGCGUAACUGUCGAAAUGGCACCCGAAAAUACAAAAUAUCCACUCCAACGGGAGUGGCAAAUAAGGUUGUAAAAUGGCAACUUCUCUUAUUCGGUGCCAUUUUUGCAACUUUUGGAAAGAGAAAAUCAGAGAUUGCAUUUACCAACGGUCAAGAGACCAACGGCUAUAUUUUACAUUAUAUAUAUGUAUAUAUAUAUAGUUACCUGAACAGAGGAGGCGGGCAGAGCAAGAGAAACCAGAGGCUUCUGCGAGGGCGAGCAGCACUGAGUGAGAAGAAGAACAAGGCGAGGGUGAGCAGUGCCUACGAAGGGGAGGGCUGAGGGCGAGCUGUGAGCAGGAGCAAUUGAUUUGCAAAGAAGAAUAAAAUUUCUGGAUUGCAUCAAGGGUGAGGGGGCGAGCUGUGAGCAGCUGCAGUUGAUUUGCAAAGAAGAAAAAGGCUUUUAGAUUGCGUCAAGGGCUAGGGGAGCAAUUGAUUUGCAGAGGAGAAGCUUCUGGAGGCACCAAGGUAUGUUAUAAUAUAUAUAUAUAUAAUCAUUAUAAAUGUUUAUAAUUGAUUUGUAGAGAGGAAGGUUCUCGAGGCGCCCAAAUAUGUUAUAAUAUAUUUGAAAUUUAAUGGUUGAAUUUUGAAAUUUGAAUUUCAGUAGUCAAAAUUUGAAAUUUUAAUUUUAAUUUUAAAAUUUAAAAUUUUAAUUAUAUUUUUUAAUAAAAAAUAUUAAAAUGGCACCCCUAUUUGCAACCUGCCAUUGGAGCAUAUGUAGAAUUUAGAAGUGCCAUAACACUAUUCAAAGUUGUAAAAUGAAAUUUUAGCACUCCAAAAUAGCACUUCCCCUUAGAGAUGCUCUAAAAAGAGUCCAACAUCCUCCACGGCUUUUUAAUGCUUCCAGUUCCUUGCACCCAAACAAUUGCAUCCUGUUUGUGUUAGAAUUCUGUUUUUGUUGCAUAAACUAUGAUAAUUAGACGUUGUGGACAUGCUUCUCACCGUUCCAUCCACACCAUGGAUGCUACUUGAAAAUCAUGUAUUAGUUGUCUUAAGACUUGUUUGUAUGAUGUAUUCUGGUUUGUGUUUAUUGAAUUCAUACUUUUGUAUUACACAUAAUGUGUUCUCUGUCUGGUAUUUUUGAAGGCAAGUUGAGAUACAAGAUAUUCGGCAACAUCUGCUUUUGUAAUAUUAGAGUUAGAAUAUGAAUGUCAUUCUCAUUGUUAAAUUAUGCAUGUAUAUGUAUUUAUUUCUUCCUUUUUCCUUUGGUAUUGCUUUUAAAUGAAAUGUACCAUAAAGAUAAACCUAGAAAGUUUCUUUUUUUGUUUUUUUGGGAAAGAUGGGCACGAGACUGCCUUCUAAGGUCUGCUUCAGUAUGCCGAUUUAGACAACUUCAUCGUUCAGUGCCAAAUCGCUCUGUGGUUUGAUUUCAUAAACCUUUCUCUAUGCAAACUGGGCAUUUAGCAUGGGAAGUAUUAGCUUAAAAGCUUGACUGGUACUGUGCGUGACGUGCGUCCAAGUUGGAUUCACAAUGUUUGAAGUCAGCUAAGCCACAACAUGAUAGUUUGGAUCCAAGCUAGUAGAUGCUUUAUUUUGGGAAAAUUAUAGACUAAGUCAUCUAAAUGGUACUGGGUUUGGGUUUCUAAUCGCCAAAUGUUGGGUUUUUUUUUUUCUCCUACUAUCGUAUUUCUGAUCUUAACUGGUGUUGUUAGAUGAUUGAUCCUUCAGUUGUGCAGUGUAUUUAUUGGGAUAUCAAAAGUUUCACAAUUUUCUCUUACAUUGCCUCGCUGUUUCAUUUCUACUUGGUUUGAUAACACCAUCUGAUUAGGGAAAAAAAUUACAACCGAUGACAGAAUUCAAAUUUUAAUCUAUGUUUACAUAUCAAUUUGCAUGACAACACAGAUAUCUGGAACUCAACUUAAAAAAUUAUGAAGAAUGCAGAAUUUUCAAGCCUUUAUCUAAACUUUUACCAAAAAGCAAUAAUUGCUUACUGUUUCAUUGAACAGAAACAUUUUAUCUGAAUUUGAAUAAAUGCAAGCUAUGAUGUGUAGAAGAUGAUUGUUCAUGUGAUUGCACACUCAACAAGGCUCUCUGCUUUGUAAAGGUGAGGGGAGGAUCUUAUUUCUACGCAACCUUCUCUUUGUUUUUUUCAAACAGUCUAUUUUCACAACUUGAAAAAAUAUGUUUCUCCUUGCGUGAUGUGAAAUUGGAGAAUGCUUGGUAUUUUUGCAGAUGAGUGACAUAUCAUCUUCUCUAGAAUGAGUAUUGUGUGCUACCACCUAGGUUAGCAAGCACUUACAUUGAAAGUUCUUUCUUAUGUCUAGUUUACACUGUCGGGACAUUCAAUUUGAAACUUAUAGGCCUUGGCCUAGGCUAUUGAUGCCUUAUUUCCUGACAUAAGGUCAAGCCGCAUUGUUUAAAUAAACUUAUGUACAGAACUUUAUGGCAUUUUGAGUGCAUAGAAAGUAAAUCAAAUCCAUCAGCUUUGCUUCUAUUAUGCUUAGAUUUCUAUCAAUUUAAGUAUUUUGAGCUAGUUAAUUUGACAUCUAUUUAUGUUUUACUGUCUUUUUGCGUAGUACAAAAAGAGUUAGUGUUCUAGACAUCUAGUAUUAUAUUUCAGAUAAUUCAAGAUGUGCUGUUCAAUUAGUCAUCUAAUUUAAGCUGACCAUGCAAAAAUAAAUAAGAGAACAUGAUAUUACAUGCAAUUAUACUCAUGUUGCAAUAGCUCUUGUAUUCAGUUGUAUGCCCUAAUCUUUUAUUUAUUUUUACCCCUUAACCGUUUUACAGGAAGAUCCCUUGCAGUCUCACUAUGAAAGGCUUAAUUGUAAACUUAUGCCACUAGAAGUUGAUUCAGGGGAGAGGUUCUCUCUGGUAUUCAUUUACAUGUAUUGCUCAUUGUAUUCCUUAAUUAACAUAUACUUUGAUGUUAGAUAACUAAAACCUAAGAUCAAGAUCUCUUCCUUCUACUACUGAGCUUGGAAUAACCCAAGCACAAGAGAAAGUAGAACUUGCCAUUUGUUAGGCUUAUCUACCAGAAGAACUAAUGUCCUCCUUCCCGCCCCCCUUCUUCUACGGGCUUGUGUUUAGCUUACAACAUAUAUGAAGAACACCCAGGCCAAGAAAGCUCAGGAUUAACACUGCCAAUAUAGUCCAAAUACUAAAAGUAUCAAGAGAAGGCGAAGAACGAUUUAGAAAGCCCUUACGCUGGCAAAAGAGAAUUUGCAGCAUCAUUUGAGUGGUCUGAUGAGGAAGAUUCAGAAUGAGGAAUAUGUUAUUUGUUGGAGCUGAAGCUUCUGGAACUGCAGCUUCUGCACCACCCCGAGUCUGGUACUUGUGAUAACUGCACAAUUUUGAGGAACCAAGAAAUGAUGAGUUUUCCCACGGAAAAAUUAUAUUCAUAUAUAAGUGGGGCAUAGCUGGUAUAAAAAAUAAAGAGGAAACAAAGCACCUAAGGUCAGGCAUGAUUCAUGAAUUCUUGAGAUCCAUUUGAUACUAGUAUAGAACAGCAGUUUGUAUGCCUAAUUCAUUUUUGUGAACAUAGCCAGGUGGCAAAAUAAUCUACAAGAUCAAGCAACUAAUACAUUUUACAUUUUAAUUAAUAUAUUUAUCUUUAAUGUCAGAUAUAUCAA